GACGAACGCUGGCGGCGUGCUUAACACAUGCAAGUCGAACGGAAAGGCCCUGCUUUUGUGGGGUGCUCGAGUGGCGAACGGGUGAGUAACACGUGAGUAACCUGCCCUUGACUUUGGGAUAACUUCAGGAAACUGGGGCUAAUACCGGAUAGGAGCUCCUGCUGCAUGGUGGGGGUUGGAAAGUUUCGGCGGUUGGGGAUAGACUCGCGGCUUAUCAGCUUGUUGGUGGGGUAGUGGCUUACCAAGGCUUUGACGGGUAGCCGGCCUGAGAGGGUGACCGGCCACAUUGGGACUGAGAUACGGCCCAGACUCCCACGGGAGGCAGCAGUGGGGAAUAUUGCACAAUGGGCGGAAGCCUGAUGCAGCAACGCCGCGUGCGGGAUGACGGCCUUCGGGUUGUAAACCGCUUUCGCCUGUGACGAAGCGUGAGUGACGGUAAUGGGUAAAGAAGCACCGGCUAACUACGUG
rnacentral:rRNA from 1 species